rnacentral:lncRNA from 10 species
GAAGGUGAUUGGGUCAUUUAUAAACAUGUGUAUUCUAGAGCCCUGCUACUCAAAUUGCAACCUACAGACCACCAGCACUGACAUCAUUUUGUUAGAGAUGCCAAACCUCAGGGCCCAUAACAGAUCUACUGAAUACAAAUCUACAUUUAAACUAGAUCCCAAGGUAAUUUUUGUUCACACUGAAAUUUAAGAAGUGCUACUGUAUAGGUAUUCGAUAAAUGUUUUCACCUGAGAUAUGUUUAUCUCUAGGUGGUCCUCAAACCACCUUUGUGAUAUACAAAUGCAUCAAAAUGUGUCUUCAAUUUGACCAUAACACAUUCAGUCUCUCUUACAGUUGCAAAGAGCCAACAACUAAUGAUUUUUUUAUUGAAUGAAUAAAAAAUGAUCAAACAAAUUUCACUUAUACUAUAUAUUUAAAAAGUAACUUCAAUUAAGUUAGCAAUUUUGAAUUAUGCAAUUUAUUACAAUGGGGAACAAUAUACUCUGUUCACAUAAAAUCCUUUUUUUAUCUAUACACUGUAGAACCUGAUAUAUAAUGAAUGCUAAAGCUGUCAAAAGUUAAGUAUUCCCCUAAACUUAAAAAUAUAGACAUCUAUGUUACGUUCCUGUCUACCUGUAUUUCUUGACAUUGUUAAAAAAAAAAGGAUAAGCUUUUUUUAAACUAAUAUACCACUGCUUCUACAGAAAUUGACGUAUAACCCACAGAAAUAUAUUCGCUGUUUGCCUUACCUUUUGCACUCUACAUACCAAGCAAACAAAAUUUGCACACACUUGCACUAGCAGCUUUGCAUCUAUCUAUUUUUAGGACAGACAGCUACAUCUUUCUCUCUGCACUGCAGGGAAACUGAACAUUUGUGGGAAAGUGUAGUGCAUUAAUCCUGUUUAAUAUUCCAGGACUCACACAGACAAUUAAUUGUGUACUGAAAAGGCAGACUAAUAAAUUUUUCUUCUUCAAAACACAGUAAAUAAGUUUAAUUGUAUUUUUCUCACAAACUGUUGUAAGAUCAAAUAGAUAAAUCAAAUAAAUUGUGAAAAUGACC